UGCGCCUUGCCAGCCCGCUCAGAAACUCGAAAGGAAUUGACGGGGGCCCGCACAAGCGGAGGAGCAUGUGGUUUAAUUCGAUGAUACGCGAGGAACCUUACCUGGGCUCGAACGUAAGAUGACUGUAGGUGAAAGCUUACAUCUCUUCGGAGCAUUUUACGAGGUGCUGCAUGGUUGUCGUCAGCUCGUGUCGUGAGAUGUUGGGUUAAGUCCCGCAACGAGCGCAACCCUUGCCUUUAGUUGCCAGCAGUUCGGCUGGGCACUCUAAAGGGACUGCCGGUGUUAAACCGGAGGAAGGUGGGGAUGACGUCAAGUCCUCAUGGCCUUUAUGACCAGGGCUACACACGUACUACAAUGGCCGAUACAAAGGGUAGCGACACUGCGAGGUGAAGCCAAUCCCGUAAAAUCGGUCUCAGUCCGGAUUGGAGUCUGCAACUCGACUCCAUGAAGUUGGAAUCGCUAGUAAUCGUGGAUCAGCAUGCCACGGUGAAUACGUUCCCGGGCCUU
rnacentral:rRNA from 1 species